AUGUGCUUAAACAUGAUUACAAAUUACAGUAUAGAUGUGCUGAGAUGUAUUUAUAUUUUUAUUCAUUUUCUCACCCCUCUUUUUUUUUUUUUUUUUUUUUUUUUUUUUUUUUUUUUUUUUUUUUUUUUUUUUUUUUUUUUUUUUUUUUUUUUUUUUUUUUUUUUUUUUUUAAAAUUAUGUAUAAAUAAUUUUUCUUCUCCCCAGGAAAAAAAAAAAAAAAAGUUUGAAAGCCCUAACCACAAUGUAAGACAAAUAAAAAUAAUGCAGCAAAUCAGCUUCAUGCUUAGUGGUCAGCCUGCUGCCAAAAUCCCUUUCAGAGUGACCAUUAUGUGAGGCAGGUAAAAGUCAGACACCUUAAAAAUAGUGACAUUUUGGUUGCAGCAUGCAGUCUAUUAGUCUGCGGGGCAGAGAGAGGAUUGGGAGGGGGCUGUGGGUCAGAAAUGUCUUUCAGCCCCUUGCGAGCAUUUCUCCUCUGCACACAAAUGUGC
rnacentral:lncRNA from 1 species